rnacentral:rRNA from 1 species
UACGUAGGGUGCGAGCGUUAAUCGGAAUUACUGGGCGUAAAGUGUGCGCGGGCGGCCGAGCAAGUCGAGUGUGAAAGCCCCGGGCUUAACUUGGGAAUUGCGCUCGAAACUACUUGGCUGGAGUGUGGCAGAGGAAGGUGGAAUUCCAGGUGUAGCGGUGAAAUGCGUAGAGAUCUGGAGGAACACCGAUGGCGAAGGCAGCCUUCUGGGCCAACACUGACGCUCAUGCACGAAAGCGUGGGGAGCAAACAGG